rnacentral:rRNA from 1 species
GACGAACGCUGGCGGCGUGCUUAACACAUGCAAGUCGAACGGAAAGGCCCUGCUUUUGUGGGGUGCUCGAGUGGCGAACGGGUGAGUAACACGUGAGUAACCUGCCCUUGACUUUGGGAUAACUUCAGGAAACUGGGGCUAAUACCGGAUAGGAGCUCCUGCUGCAUGGUGGGGGUUGGAAAGUUUCGGCGGUUGGGGAUGGACUCGCGGCUUAUCAGCUUGUUGGUGGGGUAGUGGCUUACCAAGGCUUUGACGGGUAGCCGGCCUGAGAGGGUGACCGGCCACAUGAGGACUGAGGUACGGCCCAGACUCCUACGGGAGGCAGCAGUGGGGAAUAUGGCACAAUGGGCGGAAGCCUGAUGCAGCAACGCCGCGUGCGGGAUGACGGCCUUCGGGUUGUAAACCGCUUUCGCCUGUGACGAAGCGUGAGUGACGGUAAUGGGUAAAGAAGCACCGGCUAACUACGUG